UGUUAGAACUUAAAAGAAGAUUAGACAAGUGUCGUCUGCUUGGUGCUUGCGUUUAGGUGAAAAUUUCGAAAAAGUCAGAGACAAAGUUCAGGAUUUAUAUACUUAUCUUAUAGAUUUAUUUGUUUUUGAUAACCAUCAUACUUCAUGCUGUUUAGUGGAUUUGAGGACAGAUCCAGCCAUCAUAACCACAGAAUACGCAAGUUUUCUUGUGCAGUGUUAACCUGUCAUCACAUCAGCAACAAUCUCAGGAUUCGCUUGGAUAAAAAGCAUCCCAUUGCAUUGGAAUGCAAUCUAAUGCAUUGCCAAUCGAGUUACGGAUCUCUUUGUUUCCCCUUUCCUUAAAUGUCCUCGUGUACGCCCGUGUGAAUGUGGGUUUAUUCACGAGGACACCCUUUACCCUAUCCUGUCUGGUGUAAUUUAACUCUUCAGCGGAUGGAUGGAGCAACUGUAGAUGCCUGGCUAUAUUUCUCAGGCAUUAAGGUAGGACCAAAUUUAUCUCUAUUCUUACUUUUGGACAAUUUUUGGUGGCGUUGAUUAUGAAUCGUCACUUAGUCACGGAGUACGUUAUUUGAGCUAUUAGGCGGUUGACUGCAACUGUUUUAUUCUCUCUCCUUAUUUUGUUUUUUCUCAGUAAGGGUUCACUAAAAAUUCUCAUUUGUCGAACGACUGCAGAUGAGGCUUGUUUUGUUUUGUACCUCACAACUUUUUCUGUGGGAGAAAACCCAUUCGAAAAUAUUUGAACUUAAAACAAUUUGAGCAAAGUGCAACAAGACAAUUUUUUGACCAAGAGGGACCUGCCGCCACACCGGCACCUCCUCGUUUUAUCUGAUCUCGAAUAGCACUGCAUUUGGCAACUUGUUUCCAGAAAAUUAUCGAGUGGUAAUAAGGUAGUGGCUAUUAAUGUGUAUCGUGGUUUGAACCUUCAUUCUCCAAGCACGAUACCAUUCAAUAUAGCAAGAGUUUAGCUCGGCUCAAAUUGUAAAAUGUUCUUUAAUCCAUAAGGAAUUUGAUUUUACACCACCAUUUCAAUGGAACAUGUCUCAAGUUCAAAAUCUAAACUCAAUUUUCAAAAAUAAUAGGCUAAAACAUUUAUCAAGUCAUGUAGAUUAUAAUGGGAGUAUAUAUUAUUAAUAAGACGGACGGAAUCGAUACAUAAUCAUGAGAACAAACACUAAAAAAUCUACAUCAGAAUAGUCUAAAAUCAAACAUGAUC